UAGGGAAUCUUCCACAAUGGACGCAAGUCUGAUGGAGCAACGCCGCGUGAGUGAAGAAGGUUUUCGGAUAGUAAAGCUCUGUUGUUGGGGAAGAAGGAUAGAGGCAGUAACUGGUCUUUAUUUGACGGUAAUCAACCAGAAAGUCACGGCUAACUACGUGCCAGCAGCCGCGGUAAUACGUAGGUGGCAAGCGUUGUCCGGAUUUAUUGGGCGUAAAGCGAGCGCAGGCGGAAUGAUAAGUCUGAUGUGAAAGCCCACGGCUCAACCGUGGAACUGCAUCGGAAACUGUCAUUCUUGAGUGCAGAAGAGGAGAGUGGAAUUCCAUGUGUAGCGGUGGAAUGCGUAGAUAUAAGGAAGAACACCAGUGGCGAAGGCGGCUCUCUGGUCUGCAACUGACGCUGAGGCUCGAAAGCAUGGGUAGCGAACAGG
rnacentral:rRNA from 1 species